rnacentral:rRNA from 1 species
UAGGGAAUCUUCGGCAAUGGACGAAAGUCUGACCGAGCAACGCCGCGUGAGUGAAGAAGGUUUUCGGAUCGUAAAACUCUGUUGUUAGAGAAGAACAAGGACGUUAGUAACUGAACGUCCACUGACGGUAUCUAACCAGAAAGCCACGGCUAACUACGUGCCAGCAGCCGCGGUAAUACGUAGGUGGCAAGCGUUGUCCGGAUUGAUUGGGCGUAAAGCGAGCGCAGGCGGUUUCUUAAGUCUGAUGUGAAAGCCCCCGGCUCAACCGGGGAGGGUCAUUGGAAACUGGGAGACUUGAGUGCAGAAGAGGAGAGUGGAAUUCCAUGUGUAGCGGUGAAAUGCGUAGAUAUAUGGAGGAACACCAGUGGCGAAGGCGGCUCUCUGGUCUGUGACUGACGCUGAGGCUCGAAAGCGUGGGGAGCAAACAGG